GACGAACGCUGGCGGCGUGCUUAACACAUGCAAGUCGAGCGGAAAGGCCCUUCGGGGUACUCGAGCGGCGAACGGGUGAGUAACACGUGAGUAACCUGCCCCAGACUUUGGGAUAACCCUCGGAAACGGGGGCUAAUACCGGAUACGACACAGCUUCGCAUGGGGUCUGUGUGGAAAGUUUUUCGGUUUGGGAUGGGCUCGCGGCCUAUCAGCUUGUUGGUGGGGUGAUGGCCUACCAAGGCGACGACGAGUAGCCGGCCUGAGAGGGCGACCGGCCACACUGGGACUGAGACACGGCCCAGACUCCUACGGGAGGCAGCAGUGGGGAAUAUUGCACAAUGGGCGGAAGCCUGAUGCAGCGACGCCGCGUGAGGGAUGACGGCCUUCGGGUUGUAAACCUCUUUCAGCAGGGACGAAGCGUAAGUGACGGUACCUGCAGAAGAAGCGCCGGCCAACUACGUG
rnacentral:rRNA from 1 species